rnacentral:tRNA from 1 species
GCGGGAGUAGCUCAGUGGUAGAGCUUCUGCUUGCCAUGCAGGAGGUCGCGGGUUCAAAUCCCGUCUCCCGCU